rnacentral:rRNA from 1 species
GACGAACGCUGGCGGCGCGCUUAACACAUGCAAGUCGAACGGAAAGGCCUGCUUUCCCUUGGGGGUUCCGGGUACUCAAGUGGCGAACGGGUGAGUAACACGUGCGUUAUCUGCCCCCAACUUGGCGAUAAGCCUGGGAAACUGGGUCUAAUUCCCGCUAGGACUGCAGGGUGGUGCCUGUGGUUGAAAACGAUUUUCUAGUGGUUGGGGAUGAGCUCCCGGGCUAUCAGGUUGUUGGUGGGGUAAUGGCGUACCAGGGCUGGGACGGGUAGCCGGCCUGGGAGGGUGGGCGGGCACAGUGGAACGGAGACACUGCGAAGAAGAUUACGGGAGGCAGCCGUGGGGAGGCAUGCGCGAUGGGCGGAGGACUAAGGGAGGGACGCUGAGUGGGGAAUGACGGCUGUGGGGUUGUAGACUUCUUUCGACAGCGAGCAAGCCACCUGGUUGGAGGGGGAGUGACGGUAGUGGUAGAAGAAGCACCGGCUAACUACGUG